rnacentral:rRNA from 1 species
GCCUGACGCAGCGACGCCGCGUGGGGGAUGAAGCUUUUCGGAGUGUAAACCCCUUUCGACUGGGACGAAUGCCCGCAAGGGAGUGACGGUACCAGUAGAAGAAGCCCCGGCUAACUACGUGCCAGCAGCCGCGGUAAGACGUAGGGGGCCAGCGUUGUUCGGAAUUACUGGGUGUAAAGGGUUCGUAGGCGGUGUGGCAAGUCGGGAGUGAAAUCUCUGGGCUUAACUCAGAGGCUGCUUCCGAAACUGCUGUGCUUGAGUGUGGGAGAGGCGCGUGGAAUUGCAGGUGUAGCGGUGAAAUGCGUAGAUAUCUGCAGGAACACCCGUGGCGAAAGCGGCGCGCUGGACCACAACUGACGCUGAGGAACGAAAGCUAGGGGAGCAAACAGGAUUAGAUACCCUGGUAGUCCUAGCCCUAAACGAUCAGGACUUGGGGUGCCGCCCGUUCGGGCGUCGUCCCGGAGCUAACGCGUUAAGUCCUGCACCUGGGGAGUACGGUCGCAAGACUGAAACUCAAAGGAAUUGACGGGGGCCCGCACAAGCGGUGGAACAUGUGGUUCAAUUCGACGCUACGCGAGGAACCUUACCUGGGCUCGAAAUGCUUCGGACCAGCUGUAGAAAUACGGCCUUCCC